AGUAAUCUCGUUGUGUAUUCUACGUAAAAACGCUGUUUUGUGUCAUGGUUAUGCAAUGACGUCAUCACGCAAUGACAUCACAAUGACAUUUAGCAACUUUUAGGAACAAACGGAUCUGCCUUUAGCAACGUCCCCUGAAAAUUAGUUGGCAACACUGUAGGAGUGAUAGAUU